GACGAACGCUGGCGGCGUGCUUAACACAUGCAAGUCGAACGGAAAGGCCCUGCUUUUGUGGGGUGCUCGAGUGGCGAACGGGUGAGUAACACGUGAGUAACCUGCCCUUGACUGUGGGAUAAUUUAAGGAAACUGGGGCUAAUACCGGAUAGGAGCUCCUGAUGCAUGGUGGGGGUUGGAAAGUUUCGGCGGUUGGGGAUGGACUCGCGGUGUAUCAGCUUGUUGGUGGGGUAGUGGCUUACCAAGGAUUUGACGGGUAGCCGGCCUGAGAGGGUGACCGGCCACGUGGGGACUGAGAUACAGCCCAGACUCCUACGGGAGGCAGCAGUGGGGAAUAUUGCACAAUGGGCGGAAGCCUGAUGCAGCAACGCCGCGUGCGGGAUGACGGCCUUCGGGUUGUAAACCGCUUUCGCCUGUGACGAAGCGUGAGUGACGGUAAUGGGUAAAGAAGCACCGGCUAACUACGU
rnacentral:rRNA from 1 species